CCCUUAGAUGUUCGGGGCCGCACGCGCGCUACACUGAAGGAAUCAAUGUGCUUGUGUCCUGGUCUGGAAAGACUGGGUAACCCUGUGAAUCUCCUUCGUGCUAGGGAUUGGGGCUUGCAAUUAUUGCCCAUGAACGAGGAAUUCCCAGUAAGCACGAGUCAUCAGCUCGUGUUGAUUACGUCCCUGCCCUUUGUACACACCGCCCGUCGCUACUACCGAUUGAACGGUUUAGUGAGACCCUCGGAUUGGUCCCGGCAUGGUGGGUCUCUGCCACGCCUGGUGUGCUGAGAAGACGGUCGAACUUGAUCAUUUAGAGGAAGUAAAAGUCGUANCA
rnacentral:rRNA from 1 species